GUUCUGGUGUCGCUUCGAAGGCGGGAGCCGGAAUCUGACCUGGUCCGAUAACCAGACAACGACAUACACCAACUGGGCCGCAAAUCAACUCGAAAGCGCCGACGUUGCAUCCUGCGCCUACGUCAACCAAGGGGGAAGGGGUGAGCCCGGCAAGUGGCGGUCUGGCUCCUGUCUUUCCUCGUUGGCCUACAUGUGCAAACGGCUGCUGAACUGCCCGACGUGCUCCCCCAAAAGUGGUCCUGCUGUAGUG